rnacentral:rRNA from 1 species
GAUGAACGCUGGCGGCGUGCCUAACACAUGCAAGUCGAACGGAAAGGCCCUGCUCUUGUGGGUUGCUCGAGUGGCGAACGGGUGAGUAACACGCGAGUAAACUGCCCUUGACUUUGGGAUAUCUUCUGGAAACUGGGGCUCAUAUCGGAUAGGAUCUCCUGCUGCAUGUUGGGCAAUGGAAAGUUUCGGCGGUUGGGGAUGGUCUCGCUGGUUACCAGCUUCUUAGUCGGGUAGUGGCUUACCAAGGGUAUGACGGGUAGCCGGCAUGGGAGGGUAGCCGGCCACAAUGGGACUGAGGGACGCACCAGAAUCGUACGGGAGGCAACAGUGGGGAAUAUGGCGCAACGGGGGGAAGCGUGAUACAGCAGCGCCGCGUGCGUGAUGCCGGGCUACGGGUGGUAAACCGCUGUGGCAGUAGAUAAAGAGUGAGUGACGGUAAUGGAUCAAGAAGCCACGGCUAACUACGUG